rnacentral:rRNA from 1 species
AGGUUUCCUGGGGAAGGUUCGUCCGCCCAGGGUAAGUCGGGACCUAAGGUGAGGCUGAAAAGCGUAGCCGAUGGAUAGCAGGUUGAGAUUCCUGCACUAUAGAUAUACUUAAAAGAUGCAAGGGACGCAGGAGUGGAAGAUAAGCGAGGAAGAGGAAAGACUCGUAUCGCAAGAUAUAGUGAAAAUAAAGUAACGAAUUAUCAAGAAGCACACUGACGAGAAAAGCUUGUAGAUAUUGUAUAUAAAUACCCGUACCGCAAACCGACACAGGUAGAUGAGGAGAGGAUCCUAAGACGAGCGGGAGAAGCAUUGUUAAGGAACUCGGCAAAUUAACCCCGUAACUUCGGGAGAAGGGGUGCCAAGGUAACACUUGGCCGCAGUGAAGAGGUUCAAGCAACUGUUUAACAAAAACACAGGUUUCUGCUAAAUCGAAAGAUGAAGUAUAGGAGCUGACGCCUGCCCAGUGCUGGAAGGUUAAGGGGAAAUGUUAGGAGCAAUCCGAAGCAUAGAACUGAAGCCCCAGUGAACGGCGGCCGUAACUAUAACGGUCCUAAGGUAGCGAAAUUCCUUGUCAGGUAAGUUCUGACCCGCACGAAAGGCGUAAUGAUUUGAGCACUGUCUCGACAAUGUACCCGGCGAAAUUGUAGUACUAGUGAAGAUGCUAGUUACCUGCGACAAGACAGAAAGACCCCAUGGAGCUUUACUGCAGCUUGAUACUGGGUUUUGGUAAUUUAUGUACAGGAUAGGUGGGAUACAUUGAAGCAAGGGCGCCAGCUUUUGUGGAGUAGACGUUGGGAUACCACUCUUAAAUUAUUGAAAUUCUAACCUGUGAUCAUGAACUGGUCAGGGGACAAUGUCAGGCGGGCAGUUUGACUGGGGCGGUCGCCUCCUAAAGAGUAACGGAGGCGCCCAAAGGUUUCCUCAGCACGGACAGAAAUCGUGCAUAAGAGUGUAAAGGCAGAAGGAAGCUUAACUGGGAGACUGACAAGUCGAGCAGAUACGAAAGUAGGGCUUAGUGAUCCGGCGGUAGUGAGUGGAAAUGCCGUCGCUCAACGGACAAAAGUUACCCUGGGGAUAACAGGCUUAUCUCCCCCAAGAGUUCACAUCGACGGGGAGGUUUGGCACCUCGAUGUCGGCUCAUCGCAUCCUGGAGCUGUAGUCGGUUCCAAGGGUUGGGCUGUUCGCCCAUUAAAGCGGUACGCGAGCUGGGUUCAGAACGUCGUGAGACAGUUCGGUCCUUAUCUGUCGCAGGCGUAGGAUAUUUGAAGGGAGCUGUCCUUAGUACGAGAGGACCAGGAUGGACAUACCGAUGGUGUAUCAGUUGUCACACCAGUGGCACGGCUGAGUAGCUAAGUAUGGAAGGGAUAAACGCUGAAAGCAUCUAAGUGUGAAGCCCACCUUAAGAUAAGAUAUCCCAUUGCACAAGCAAGUAAGAUCCCAUGAAGACUACAUGGUAGAUAGGUUGGGGGUGUAAGUACAGUAAUGUAUUAAGCUGACCAAUACUAAUAGAUCGAGGGCUUAACCAC